AAAAAGCCCCCCUACCCCAAAUAUACAUAUAUAUGUGUAUAUCGGUUUCUAUGGUAACAGCAACGUUAGAACAUAUGUAAACAUACCAGAUCCCCUGUAGGUCCUAACAUCAUUUUCUUCUCUGGAUCAAAGGCUUCACUUAAAUAAACUAUAACUUUUUCCCAGCUACAUAAUGCGAUUAGUUAGUUAUAAAUCAGGGGUCGGCAACCCUAGGCAGGGUUAACUGAUAGCACGCACGACCAUAGCUGGACUGGCCAUCGGGCAUAAGGGCAUUUGCUCGGUGGCCCGAUUAUUAUUAUUAUUAUUAUUAUUUUGGUGGUGGACUGACCAGAAGCUGAUCGGUGUGUAAAAAUAAGUCAGUUGUUUGGUGGUGGCUAUGGCGGAGCUUCCACAGAUUCAGUAAAAUUAACAAGUGGUGGAGGCCAGCAGGUGGAUGAGGGAAGGGGAGGCAGGAGGAGGAGAGACCCGAGGCAGCCGCCGGUCGGAGCGUCAGGUGAACUGAACUUCAGGCUGUCUUGACUACAUUGUUGAACGUCCCGAGAACGAGGCCUUUCUGAAGUCAUGAGGAUCCUUGAUGACACUCUCCUGAGCGCCAUCUCUUCUGAUGAAGCAUGGGACACUGGAACCGAGCGCGUCAAUAAAGGUGAGUACAUCGCCCUCUCCCCCUCCCCCUCUUCUCAUGAAGAACUGGAUGCUGAUGUGUGUCAGUGAAGUGGAAGGUGAGUACCCCCCCACCUCCCUUUCUUGCACUGAGGUCUGCUUAUUGUAAAUAUCUUGUAAUUGUUUUUACACCUUUUACUGUUAAAGUUGACCUUUGACCUUUUCAGUGUUGGAAAGACACUUUCUUGCACUGAGGUCUGCUUAUUGUCAAUAUCUUGUACUUGUUUUUACACCUUUUAAUGUUAAAGUUGACCUUUGACCUUUUCAGUGUUAGAAAGACACUUUCUUGCACUGAGGUCUGCUUAUUGUAAAUAUCUUGUACUUGUUUUUACACCUUUUAAUGUUAAAGUUGACCUUUGUGCUUUUCAGUGUUGGAAAGACACUUUCUUGCACUGAGGUCUGCUUAUUGUAAAUAUCUUGUACUUGUUUUUACACCUUUUAAUGUUAAAGUUGACCUUUGACCUUUUCUGUGUUGGAAAGACACUUUCUGGCACUGAGGUCUGCUUAUUGUAAAUAUCUUGUACUUGUUUUUACACCUUUUAAUGUUAAAGUUGACCUUUGACCUUUUCAGUGUUGGAACGACACUUUCUUGCACUGAGGUCUACUUAUUGUAAAUAUCUUGUACUUGUUUUUACACCUUUUAAUGUUAAAGUUGACCUUUGAC
ensembl:lncRNA